rnacentral:lncRNA from 1 species
AGGAGAGGUGGCGCGUUGCCCGGGUGCUCAUGGACACCAGGUCUGCUCCCCACCCACUGUCGUCUGUGCCGUGCUGCAGGGGCCAGGCAGCCACAGGCAUUGUUUGGGCCCCGAGCUGGCCAGGCUGGAGUCAGGUCCCACUAAGCCGCAGGUGCCUCUUGCUUGGGGUGGGGGCUGAGGGGCGUCUUCCUGCGGCGGGGCUGUAGCUGGUGCCUGGUUCCCUCUGUCCAGAUGCAGCUCUGGGCUUGCAGCCUCUGCCUCCCUGAUGGGACAGCAACCCUGGGCAUCGCUGGAGGCUCUGAGGUCUGCACGGGGCACCAUCCCGUAUUCUGCAGGGUCCAGAGACACAGAGAGGGAGACCAGCCCAGCCCCAUUGUGGGAGAAAGGCCAGUGAUGUCCUCAGGGGGCUGAGGCUGGCAGCCACCUUCUAGUGGACAUUACUGCUGAGAACUGGCCAGGUGCCUGCACUCACUACCAUGAGUAAUUGCCCAGCGGCCCAUGAGGUGCUGGCAGCUCCUCCAUUUACGAGUUAGGAAACAGGCACAGAGAGACCAGGUGGCCUGUCCCAGCAGCACUGCUCUGGCUCUUGACCACCACAUCAGCAGCAAAACCGCCAGGGCUGAAAUCAACACAGAUUUAUCCAUUCUCACCAGGCUGUGGGUGCCUUGCAGGUCUGUGCUCCUAGCUGGGGGCCCAGGGAGACUCUGCUUCCAGGAGGAACCCAGCUGCCAUCUGCAGGACUGAGGUCCCAUCUCCGCCCUGGCCUCACACAGGCCCUCCUGCCUGCCAAGCAGCAAGCGAUGCCGCAACCUCAGUCUCUCACUCUGCUCUCCGGUUCCCUAGACCCCCAGCCCAAGCUCCGGUGAUUACCAGGUAAUUCCUGUCCCAAGGCAGCCGUGCCGAGUGUCCUAACACAGUUGCCACGUGGCUCCGUGUCCUGUGCACAGGCCAGGGGUUCGAGUGGGCAUCAGCAAUGCUCACUUCAGAGCCCCUCCACCACGACGUGGCCACCGUGCACACAGCUCCGUGGCCAGCGCUGGAAACUGCGUCUCCUGCCUCCAGCUACGUUACUCGGAGAAGCAGGAACCUCUCCAUCCUCACUUUCUGUCUGCACAUCCGGGGUCAUCCACGUGCACCCACACCAUGUGCUCACUGUGGCCUGUCAAGAACACAGCGUCCCCCGCCCCUGAUUUCCCAGGAGAGUCGCACGUCCGUGAUGGUGGUCUCCCAGGCACACAUGGCCACGGAGCACGUGGGAAGACUGCACGCCGGGUACUGAGGCUUCCUGUGAAAAAAAGAACCUGAAACAAGUCUUCCUGAGCCCCAGGCUGGUGUGGACACAAGGAAGCCCCACUGGAGGGCCCUCUUUACAUGGGGAGGCCUGAACCCUGAGCAGUCAAGGAAGUUUUGGAAGUGAGUAGCUAUGGCUUCUUCACCUGCUUCUGCCUGGACGGCGCCCUUCAGAACCCAAGCCCAUCCGUGAGAUAGCACCCUCCGGGGCCAGACGCUGAGUCACUCCAUGAAGGCCAAAGCUCACCUGGACACAUGAGUCUCGGGGUAACCAGUCCCCUGCAGACCUGCAGAAGCUUGGACAGCAAGUGGGAGUCGGCAGUCAGGCAGGAAACUCGGGGGUUUUGCACCUGGAGGGAAGCCCACCUGAUAUGAACAUGCUUUCGAAGCUUGUGGAUCGGAGAGGCCAGUGGUGCACAGGAUGGUCAGAUCGAUCAGUCAGGACGAUCAUCAGCCCCAUUUCUCAGGUGCAGUACAGCACGUCUACGUCCUCCCGACACCGUGCGUGCAGCCGCACCAAAGCCAGGGGAGCAGGUGCGCUUCUCCAUGGGUCCUGGUUUAAAGCAGGUGGAAACACCACAGGCUUGGGAUUGAGGGGGUAAGUAAGGGAUGUCCAGUUCUCAGGUGAGGUUAAGUCCUUCUCCUGCAGAGACAGCACUGGGGGGACCUCACAGUGCCCCCCGGGAAGCGCUGGUGGGGCAGGCUGCAGGAGCUGAGGCUAGGGUCCUGGCACGGGGCUACAGGGCCCUUGGUGUCCUUCACUGCUGUGACAGGGGCCCCCUGCUGCCCCGGCACCUGCGGGCCUUGGCCAAUCCUGAACGCCAGGUUGUGGCAGUGGAGACCUGGGGGUGGUCAGCGGCCCCCUACGGAGGUUCUGCUGUGCGUGUCAGGGCCCCAGGCAGGGCUGUGCCGCGCCAGCCCCACUGACUAUCAGUGUGGACACACGUCCAUGGGAGGGGAUCUCGUUUUCCCCACCUUCCAGUGAGGGAACCAAGGCAGACUCAGCACCGAGCAGGGGUCAGGCCCUGGUGGAGGUGGAUUUUCUUCACCGUGGCACAGUCCUCAGUCCCUGGACUGCCCCCCUGCACCCAGCAGCACAGGCCACAGAGCCCAGGAGAUGCGGGCAGGAGCUUUCCCCUCGCCUGCCCCACUCCUCACCACCCAGUGGGCAUCCUGUAGAUGGGAGCAGUUCUCUGCCUAGCACUUGGACUGCUGGGCUGAGUCAUGGCUGCAGGUGACAGCUUAGUGGCAUCUCCCAGGUGCCACUGCAGGGACAGCCUCCGUGUCUCCAGGCUGUGCUGUGGCCCCGUGGAGCUAAGCUUCCCCAUGCCGCUGAGUCGGGGGCUGCAGAGGCCUGUGCGGGCUGCCGUGGCUGGACCUGGGCCUGGCUGCUCGGAUGCUGGAACCCUGCUCUCAGCCUGGAGGCUGGCAGGUCUGCCAGGGGCCAACGGGCAGACAUCGCCCGUCUGAAGCUCUUUGCCUCUGAAAGAGCUUCAGUGCCAGCCAGGGGCAGUUCAUGAGAAAUUCAGAGAAACAUGUAGGCUUCUGUGUCUUCUAAAGCACUGCCAAUGCCUCACCCACCUCUGGCCAGAGGACUCUGGAAAACUUGCGUUUCUGGUAUGUAUAGAAAACUGACAUGCUAAGCCGUAAAGCCGCCCCCUUCAAGACGCAGCAGACGCGAGGCUCACCCUGCCACGAGCACUGGUACUGGCUCACUUUCCGCUCUGCUCGGCGGGACUCCGGCCAGGCCAAGCGCGCAGCUGCAGAAAGGUUUAGAGUGAGGCUUCCACUUCACUCUCCGGUCCAAGAGUUACACUAUCUGGUGAAAGUGUUUUUGUUUUCCUUUUUUGGAGUUAAGCGACAGCGAUGGGCCAGCUGGCACCAGUGUGGACAGACAGGUAUUCCUCAGUUUGUGGCACCAACGUGGUUCUGGCAAAGUGGCCUCUUUUCCAGUAAAAGUCUUCUCUCCCCCCUGCCUUCCAUUUUAGGACCAGAGGUUUGUCCCUGGGGAAGCAACCCCAAUUACAGUGAGCUUUGCCAUCUGUGGAAAUAGCCUGGUCACCAGAGGCGUGGCCAUGCCGGCGGCAGCACCCGGGGCAGCCCCCGCCCCCCUCCUUAUGAAGCUCAGUAUCCCCCAGGCUGCCCACGUCCCACCCUGCCCAGCCUACACCACCUCCCUCCUCCCUCACCGCCACUCCACGCCCCUGCCCAGUGGAGCCUCAGCCCCGUCCCACCUGCAGCAUGCCCAGCCCAAGUGCCUGAAACCCAGAGCCUUGGACUCAGGGCAAAAGGAAGCUGCACCAUUCCAUCACAUCAGGCUCUCCACGCUUAGAGCAGAGCGCAACUCUCCUUGCACCUGAAUCCCUUCACACAGGUGAUGCCAAGAGGCUCAGGACAGAGCAUUGCAGGGGAGACAGAGGACGGACGGACUCAGGCCCUGAGGAGGGGCUCGGCCUUGCCAAGCAGCUGGCUCUAUUCAUUUAGCAGAACGGCUGCCCCACCCCUCUCCCGGACCCUGCACGGAGAGAGGCCACUGGGGCCGUCCCGCCCCGACUUCUAUUUUGUUUUCGCCAGAGCCGCCUCCAGCCUCCCUCUUCACAUUUUAUGUCAACUCUGGGGCCCUGCUGGCUGAAAGUGAGUUCUGUUUUCCGGCAGCCCUGUGGCUUUUGGACUCGGCCUUGAAAUUAGUUCAUGGCGACCAGGCACACAUCGCGCUGGGAAGCCACGUGGGAGCUGUGCGGGUG